rnacentral:rRNA from 1 species
UACAGAGGGUGCAAGCAUUAAUCGGAUUUAUGGUGCGUAAAGGGCGCGUAGGCGGUAUGAUAAGUCAGAUGUGAAAUCCCGGGGCUCAACCCCGGAACAGCAUUUGAAACUGUCAUUCUAGAGGGUAGGCGGAGAAAACGGAAUUCCACAAGUAGCGGUGAAAUGCGUAGAUAUGUGGAAGAACACCGGUGGCGAAGGCGGUUUUCUAGCUUAUACCUGACGCUAAUGCGCGAAAGCAAGGG